ACGGGGAGAACGACAAGGGGGAGGGACUUUGGGAGAACGAGGCAAAUUGACGAGCGAAGCAGACGAGCAGAGCUCACAUGAAUGAGGAAAACGUCUGUCCUGGAGUUUUUUAUCGUCACACAACGAUAAAUGCGGAGUUUAUCUACAGUGUGUGGACCUUAAAACAUCCCGAAGGGACACGACGUGCGUGCUCCUUGGACCUUUUUUCGUUAUUUGGAUAAAUUGCUUGAGGACCACCGAGGGGAAAAACGGGCGUCGACGGCGUGUCGGGCUGCAUGCGUCUUCCCAGCGUUCUCAACGGUCAUCAACCAUCUUACCACCAACCAGAGCCCAUCUCUCAUCUCUUUUCCUUCUUCUUUCUAACUUCCAUCUAUCUCUCUCUCAAGAACAUCUGACUGUGAGUACUGAGACACACAGAAAGUGCACUUAUUGUUUUUUUUUUGCUGUUAAAGCGAAACGGUCACUAAGUUUUUGACCUCAACGUUCACAAGCGACGACUCAGGCCUGCAACGUUUUUUUUAUGGUGGGAAGUUUUUUUUUUUGCUUUAUACAUUAUUUGAUUUCCUCUGUUUAUAUAUGAGUGUGUGAAAAGUUUAAAGUAUUUCGGUUGUGUGAGUUAAAACAAAAUACACAUUUUUACUUUAAUGAAAGACUGAAAUCUUAUUAUUUCUUAGUAGGGUAAAUAUAUUUAAAAAUUCUACUAAGUGGAGGCACCAAACCAUUUAAGUUUCAAAUUCUAGCAACGGCACCACUUACACAAAAAAUUCGAACCCAGAGCCCACCCAGCGUGUCACGUGGGUAGGGGCUACAAUUCUAAAAAGUGAAGUGAGAAUGAUGACAUUUUAACCUCGCUCCUUUGACUGUUUGAAGGGACUCCACAGGUUGACGUGGAUCUGAAGGAAGCGUCUCUCUCGAUCUACACCUGGUGGCCAAACAACAGUAUGUCACGUUAUCAGGCCUUGGAAGUACUGUGCCAGGCAAAAAGAAGUUGACGCUGCUGGGCGGUCUGGACUGGACAAAGCACACACAUUUAACCAUGUCCCCCUCAGAGGAGCAGGAUGAGACACUCUUAAUUUCAGGAGCAUCUAUAUAUAAAGAGAAAUGGAACAAUAAUUGGUUAAUUAUAGUUGGACAACUCUUAGCAAUAACCUUUCUGAGUCAAUAUCAUGGUAAUUAUUCAUUUAUAUUCCUCUUAAAUGACAAAACCUUUCUGACUCACUGUGUUUCACAAAGGGUGAUUUAAAAAAAAAAAUUUUUUUUUUACGUUCCUCUUAUAUGUCAAAACUUGUCAAAUUUCUACCCAACCUGUAUGUGUGAGUAAAAUAGUCACAAAAUACAGUUAACUUACACGUCACAUCAAGCUGGACAGGUGAUGAUGUUGCUUUUCCUAUGGCGUUUAUGGCAAUGCAGUACAAGCGCCCCGUGCGUCUAGAGACAUUCGUCAGGAUAAAGAUCCUGCCCUCGUGCAGCCGAGCGCCGUGGUCGUUAUGCCACUCAUAGCUGCUGGCGGCAGGGUUGGCGUCACAGCUGCACUUUAGAUACACAGCUUCUCCCUCCUUUACAUUUGCUUUGUAUUGAACAUCUAUAUUCACUGGACCAUCUAUAGGGAAACACACAAGAGGCUACAGCGAGGUUUGAUGGACAUUUUUAUGAACAAGAAACAAAUAGUUUUUAUUUUCAACGCAUUGGCAGAUAUUUGGUCAAAACAGCUAUUGCAGGAAAAGCAUUUACACCCACAUACACACCUGUUUCAAAGUUAGAGACUUCAAUUAACCUAUAAUGUGCGUGUCUUCUGAAGGUGCCAUAAUAAAGAUCGUAUGGAACCAUAUACAGUCAUGUGAAAAAAAAUUAGGACACCCUGUGAAAUAUUCAGUUCUUUAUUAAGAAAUGUUCACUUAUCUGAUCACUUGUCUGAUCUUGUUUUUCUUUAUCUCUGGAAAAGAAUGUGAUUUAAUUGCAGGUAAACAACACAAAUUAACAUUGUUUUAUUCAUUAAAGAAAUGCAUAUUCUAACUGAGGAAAAGAUUGGACCCUACCACCUAAUAGUUACCCCCUUUGGCUGCAAUUACUUUAGUGAGACGCUUUUUGUAGCCAUCUACCAGUCUUUGACAUCGGUCUGAAGAAAGUUUGCCCCACACCUCAACACAGAAUACUUUGAGUUGUGAGAUGUUUGAGGGGUUUCUUGCAUGUACAGCCUCUUUCAAGUCACUCCAAAGCAUCCCAAUGGGAUUGAUAUCUGGGCUUUGACUCAGCCAUUCCAGGACUCUCCAUUUCUUCCUUUUCAACUAGUCCUUGUUGGAUUUACGGAUAUGUUUUGGGUCAUUUUCAUGUUGCAAGAUCCAGUUUCGCUUCAGCUUCAAUUUUUUCCAAAGAUGAUCUCAAAUGUUCCGAAUGCACCCUCUGAUACAUGAUAUAAUUCAUUUAAUCAUCAUUAAAUGAUGGUGAGCUGGCCAGGCCCUGCUGUAGCAAAGCAUCCCCAAACAAUGACACUUCCACCUCCAUGCUUCACACUUGGUAUGAGGUUCUUUUCCUGGAAUGCUGACUUGGGUUUAUGCCAAACAUGUGCUCUGUUCUGGUGUCCAAAUAAUUCAACUUUCGAUUCAUCUGUCCAAAGAACAUUAUUCCAAAAAUCCUGGUCCCUGUCUACAUUUACUCUGGCAAACUUCAAUCUGGCCUUCAUGUUCUUCCUGGAGAACUAAGGUUUCCUCCAUGCACACCUCCCAUGAAAGUUAAACUUGUCAAGUCUCCUUCUGAUUGUAGAGGCAUGCACUUUCAAAUCAACAAUAGCAAGAGCCUGCUGUACGUCCCGUGAUUUUGGGUCUUUGGAGACUUCUUUCAGAAUCUUGCGGUCUGCACUCAGGGUGAACUUGCUUGGACGGCCAGGCUGGACUUGAAUGUCCUCCACUUGUAGACUAUUUUACAGACAGUAGAAUGGCUGAUUUUAUAUUCUUUUUAGAUCUUUUGAAAUCCCUUACCAGACUCAUGGGUGUCUACAAUCUUCUUUCUGAAGGCCUCAAAUAGCUCAUUUGAGCUUACCAUGGUGUUUUCUCUCACUUAAACAGUCAGGGGACCACCAAACUAAAUGAGUGGUGUAAAUAAGGCAAGCCUCCUUUAAAACACUUGGUUGGUAAGGAUGUUCUAAUCAUGUGCACCUGAUGUGAUACACUUGUGUGUGAUUUUAGCCAUUUUAAGUGGGAUUGAAUGUUGGGGUGUCCCAAUUUAUUCCUCACCAGAAAGUGCAUUUAUUUAGAAUUACAUUUUACAGAAAGUUAUUAAAUACCGUUUUUUUUAUUUUUUAUUUUUUAUUUUUUUUUUAAUUUUUUAGUUCUAUUACUUGAAUCUCUCAAGAUUGUUAAAAUUGAUAUUAAAUAUCUAUAUGACCAAAUAUGUUAGAAAACACACAGGCUUCCAUAGGGUGUCCUAAUUUUUUCACAUGACUGAAGUUUAUAUUCAUGAAAAUAUGAUUCAACACAAUGUUGGCGGGCAGCUUCCCCUUUGCUAUGGGUUAUAAACAACGGCACAUUUCUUUUUUCCUAUCAGACACUAGAAUGUUUUGAUGAUGCAUAAAAGUGUGAGCUUUU